GACAGAGGGUGCAAGCGUUGUUCGGAAUCAUUGGGCGUAAAGGGCGCGUAGGCGGCUACGUAAGUCGAGUGUGAAAUCCCCUGGCCUAACCAGGGAAGUGCAUUCGAUACUGCGUUGCUUGAGUGUCAGAGAGGGUGGGGGAAUUCCCAGUGUAGAGGUGAAAUUCGUAGAUAUUGGGAGGAACACCGGUGGCGAAGGCGCCCACCUGGCUGACAACUGACGCUGAGGCGCGAAAGCGUGGGGAGCAAACAGG
rnacentral:rRNA from 1 species